rnacentral:misc_RNA from 1 species
AAGUCGUAACAAGGUUUCCGUAGGUGAACCUGCGGAAGGAUCAUUACCAAAGAAGAACAGAAAACCACUUCAGGGAGGCGGACCUGACGGACGUCUUGAACCCUGUUGGGACCACCCUAUACCUGCGAAACGCCACCGUCCUAGCGGUGGCGGACGAUGAAUCAGGCACGGUGGCCCGUUUACCUUCACAUAAUUCCCUGCGUACCACUUCCACGUUGCUUCCCCGCAAUCCUCACUCAUUGGUGGACGCGGGGAGGUCUCCAACAAACGCACCUGCACUCAACAGCAGUCAGACGGCCAAUGACAAAAUCAUUAAAA